rnacentral:rRNA from 1 species
CUAGCCGUAAACGAUGGAUACUAGGCGUUGUGAGUAUCGACCCUCACAGUGUCGUAGCUAACGCGUUAAGUAUCCCGCCUGGGGAGUACGCGCGCAAGCGUGAAACUCAAAGGAAUUGACGGGGGCCCGCACAAGCGGUGAAGUAUGUGGUUUAAUUCGAUGCAACGCGAAGAACCUUACCAGGACUUGACAUGUCGCGAAUCUCAGGGAAACUUGAGAGUGCCUUCGGGAGCGCGAACACAGGUGGUGC